rnacentral:rRNA from 2 species
CAUGCAAGUCGAACGGUAACAGGAAGAAGCUUGSUUCUUUGCUGACGAGUGGCGGACGGGUGAGUAAUGUCUGGGAAACUGCCUGAUGGAGGGGGAUAACUACUGGAAACGGUAGCUAAUACCGCAUAACGUCGCAAGACCAAAGAGGGGGACCUUCGGGCCUCUUGCCAUCGGAUGUGCCCAGAUGGGAUUAGCUUGUAGGUGGGGUAACGGCUCACCUAGGCGACGAUCCCUAGCUGGUCUGAGAGGAUGACCAGCCACACUGGAACUGAGACACGGUCCAGACUCCUACGGGAGGCAGCAGUGGGGAAUAUUGCACAAUGGGCGCAAGCCUGAUGCAGCCAUGCCGCGUGUAUGAAGAAGGCCUU